CAAAACGAAGAAAAAGAAAUAAGAUCGAAUUUGUAGCUUCAAUGGGUACAGACCUGCGCUAGCUGCUAUAUCCUGUCAGUAUAUAGGCGAAUCGAGCUUCAGCUUCGCUGUUCUGUGUGAUCAACUUUUUCCAUCAACGUCAACGAUCGUGAAAGCUUGGUGGGAUUUCGAUUUGGUUAACGCUUUUCUAAGGCGUCAAAUUCUUGAAGCAUCAAAUGAUGAAGAGGUUGUCUUACUCUCAGAGAUGUUUAGGUGAAAAGCGAAAAGCAAACACUAAUGAAUUGUUUUAGCGUUAGCAUGAAUGGGAUUCUCUUUUCUUUUGGCUUACACCUUUGUGCAUAUAUACUUAGAGGAACUAGAACAACUAUUUUUUAGAAGAUUGUCUGGCAGCUACUGUAACUAAGUUAAACUAAGAUAGCCAAUUUGUCAGCAGCUGCUAUCGAUAUUGAAAGUGAUGAUAUUGUACUGUUUUGUCGUAUAUAUGCUGUCCUUUUAUCUCUAGUUUUAUACUAACAAUUGAAGAUGAUGAACAAGAGGGGGUAGAAAAAGGCACAAAGGAUUAAAUGA
rnacentral:lncRNA from 1 species